rnacentral:rRNA from 1 species
UAACCUGCCCUCCACUUCGGGAUAACCUCGGGAAAUCGUGGCUAAUACCGGAUAUGAGCACUCAUCGCAUGGUGGGUGUUGGAAAGAUUUAUCGGUGGGGGAUGGACUCGCGGCCUAUCAGUUUGUUGGUGAGGUGAUGGCUCACCAAGACGAUGACGGGUAGCCGGCCUGAGAGGGCGACCGGCCACACUGGGACUGAGACACGGCCCAGACUCCUACGGGAGGCAGCAGUGGGGAAUAUUGCACAAUGGGCGAAAGCCUGAUGCAGCGACGCCGCGUGGGGGAUGACGGCCUUCGGGUUGUAAACCCCUUUCAGUAGGGAAGAAGCGAGAGUGACGGUACCUGCAGAAGAAGCGCCGGCUAACUACGUGCCAGCAGCCGCGGUAAUACGUAGGGCGCAAGCGUUGUCCGGAAUUAUUGGGCGUAAAGAGCUUGUAGGUGGCUUGUCGCGUCUGCCGUGAAAACCCGAGGCUCAACCUCGGGCGUGCGGUGGGUACGGGCAGGCUAGAGUGUGGUAGGGGAGACUGGAACUCCUGGUGUAGCGGUGAAAUGCGCAGAUAUCAGGAAGAACACCGAUGGCGAAGGCAGGUCUCUGGGCCAUUACUGACACUGAGAAGCGAAAGCAUGGGUAGCGAACAGGAUUAGAUACCCUGGUAGUCCAUGCCGUAAACGUUGGGCACUAGGUGUGGGGGACAUUCCACGUUUUCCGCGCCGUAGCUAACGCAUUAAGUGCCCCGCCUGGGGAGUACGGCCGCAAGGCUAAAACUCAAAGGAAUUGACGGGGGCCCGCACAAGCGGCGGAGCAUGCUGAUUAAUUCGAUGCAACGCGAAGAACCUUACCAAGGCUUGACAUGCACUGGACGGCUGCAGAGAUGUGGCUUUCUUUGGACUGGUGCACAGGUGGUGCAUGGUUGUCGUCAGCUCGUGUCGUGAGAUGUUGGGUUAAGUCCCGCAACGAGCGCAACCCUCGUUCUAUGUUGCCAGCACGUGAUGGUGGGGACUCAUAGGAGACUGCCGGGGUCAACUCGGAGGAAGGUGGGGACGACGUCAAAUCAUCAUGCCCCUUAUGUCUUGGGCUUCAAGCAUGCUACAAUGGUCGGUACAAUGGGUUGCGAAACUGUGAGGUGGAGCGAAUCCCAAAAAGCCGGCCUCAGUUCGGAUUGGGGUCUGCAACUCGACCCCAUGAAGUCGGAGUCGCUAGUAAUCGCAGAUCAGCAACGCUGCGGUGAAUACGUUCCCGGGCCUUGU